GUUCUUAUAGUUGAAAAACAACGGUGGUUUUUCAAACCAUUAGUCUUAGUUAAAACCUUGGUAAGAACU
rnacentral:tRNA from 1 species